ensembl:snoRNA
GGCACUUGUGUGUGUUUGUCUUAACUUGUGGACUAAAAACUUCAUGAAAAAGUACAGAAAUUAAAUCCUCAUUUGCAUCCCAAAACUCAUUAUUUGGUGCGAGUUUUGAAAUAUACAAGAAAUAUUACU